ACGAGUUUUAAUUGUUAGGUUAGAGUUGAGCUGGUUAAUCUAAUUAAUAUGUGCUUACUCUAAUCGAACAAGUCCACUCAUUACUUAACACUUGUGAACUUAUUCAUUACAAACAUCUAUUAUUUGUUAUUGGAACGUUUGGGGGGAUUAUUAAAAGUUAAUA
rnacentral:misc_RNA from 1 species